rnacentral:rRNA from 1 species
UACGUAGGGUCCGAGCGUUGUCCGGAAUUACUGGGCGUAAAGAGCUCGUAGGUGGUUUGUCGCGUUGUUCGUGAAAACUCACAGCUCAACUGUGGGCGUGCGGGCGAUACGGGCAGACUUGGGUACUGCAGGGGAGACUGGAAUUCCUGGUGUAGCGGUGAAAUGCGCAGAUAUCAGGAAGAACACCCGUGGCGAAGGCGGCUCUCUGGGACGGUACUGACGCUGAGACGCGAAAGCGUGGGGAGCGAACAGG